UACAGAGGGUGCGAGCGUUAAUCGGAAUUACUGGGCGUAAAGCGUGCGUAGGUGGUUCGUUAAGUCUGAUGUGAAAGCCCUGGGCUCAACCUGGGAAUGGCAUUGGAUACUGGCGACCUAGAGUGCGGUAGAGGGGUGUGGAAUUCCCGGUGUAGCAGUGAAAUGCGUAGAUAUCGGGAGGAACAUCUGUGGCGAAGGCGACACCCUGGACCAGCACUGACACUGAGGCACGAAAGCGUGGGGAGCAAACAGG
rnacentral:rRNA from 1 species